rnacentral:rRNA from 1 species
AUACGGAGGAUCCGAGCGUUAUCCGGAUUUAUUGGGUUUAAAGGGUGCGCAGGCGGGAGAUUAAGUCGGCGGUGAAAUUUUGCAGCUCCACUGUAAAAGAGCCCUUGCAAACGGGUUUCCUUAGUGUAGAUGGAGGAGGCGGAAUUUGUGGGGGAGCGGUGAAAUGCAUAGAUAUCACGAGGAACUCCGAUUGCGCAGGCAGCUUACUAAACUACUACUGACGCUCAGGCACGAAGGCGUGGGAUCAAACAGGAUUAGAUACCCUGGUAGUCCACGCAGUAAACGAUGAUUACUAGCUGUUUGCGAUACAAUGUAAGCGGCUGAGCGAAAGCGUUAAGUAAUCCACCUGGGGAGUACGUUCGCAAGAAUGAAACUCAAAGGAAUUGACGGGG